GACGAACGCUGGCGGCGUGCUUAACACAUGCAAGUCGAACGGAAAGGCCUUUUCGGAGGUACUGGAGUGGCGAACGGGUGAGUAACACGUGGGUGAUCUGCCCUGCACUCUGGGAUAAGCCUGGGAAACUGGGUCUAAUACCGGAUAGGACCGCACUUUAGUGUGUGUGGUGGAAAGUUUUUUCGGUGUAGGAUGAGCCCGCGGCCUAUCAGCUUGUUGGUGGGGUAAUGGCCUACCAAGGCGGCGACGGGUAGCCGGACUGAGAGGUUGGUCGGCCACAUUGGGACUGAGAUACGGCCCAGACUCCUACGGGAGGCAGCAGUGGGGAAUAUUGCACAAUGGGCGCAAGCCUGAUGCAGCGACGCCGCGUGGGGGAUGACGGCCUUCGGGUUGUAAACUCCUUUCGCCAGGGACGAAGCGUUUUGUGACGGUACCUGGAGAAGAAGCACCGGCUAACUACGUG
rnacentral:rRNA from 1 species